rnacentral:rRNA from 1 species
CCCAGACUCCUACGGGAGGCAGCAGUGGGGGAUAUUGCACAAUGGGGGGAACCCUGAUGCAGCGACGCCGCGUGGGUGAAGGAGCGUUUCGGCGCGUAAAGCCCUAUCGGCAGGGAAGAAGGAGGACGGUACCUGACUAAGAAGCCCCGGCUAACUACGUGCCAGCAGCCGCGGUAAUACGUAGGGGGCAAGCGUUAUCCGGAUUUACUGGGUGUAAAGGGGGCGCAGACGGCAGCGCAAGCCAGGAGUGAAAGCCCGGGGCCCAACCCCGGGACUGCUCUUGGAACUGCGCGGCUGGAGUGCAGGAGGGGCAGGCGGAAUUCCUGGUGUAGCGGUGAAAUGCGUAGAUAUUAGGAGGAACACCAGUGGCGAAGGCGGCCUGCUGGACGAUGACUGACGUUGAGGCUCGAAAGCGUGGGGAGCAAACAGGAUUAGAUACCCUAGUAC